rnacentral:lncRNA from 1 species
AAAAUGAAAAAAAGUCAAAAUGAAAAAAAGUCAAAAUGAAAAAGAGUUAAAAUAAAAAAAAAUCAAAAUGAAAAAGAGUUAAAAUGAAAAAAAAUCAAAAAUAAAAUAAAAAUAAAAAUAAAAUUAAAAAUAAAAUUAAAAUUAAAAGUAAAAUUAAAAUUAAAAUUAAAAUUAAAAAUAAAAAUAAAAACCAAUUUAAAAAUAGCAUUUAAAAUAAACGUAAAAGGAAAAAAAAAAAAAUAGUUAGCUAGUAUGUUUACUUAUAUAUAUAUAUAUAUAUAUAUACAGAUGGGUAGAUAAGUGCUUACAUUUACAUAUACUCAAGUAUUCCCAUAUAAUAUAUACAUAUGCAUACAUAACCUCAACUCGCUUGCAAAAAAUAAAUUUAGUACGCUCUUUGUGCUUUGGCACGUAUUACUAUGUAUAUAGUGUCAUAAUAAGCAAUAAGUCGAUUAAAAAAAAGAAAAUAAAAAUAAAUGUUUUAUACUAAGCUUACAUACAUUAGUAACAAGGGGGGAAUAAUAUGCUCAUUUUUUAAAAGAUCAACAGUUUUUUAUAUUUUGGUAAAAAAAAAUUAUAAAACAGUUUUUAUGCUUAGAUCAAAGUUACAUAGGAAAUUGUAUUGUUAACAUUUUAACGUUAAAUAAACAUUAUAAAUGUCGUUAUAAGUAGUUCAAAAAAAAAAAAAAAAGGCAUUAAAAGAGGUAUUAAAAAUAAAUGUUUCGAUACGUAAGUAAUUUAAUAUAUAAAAAAAAAAAAUAAUAAUUAACAAACAUUAAAUAUAUGAAAAAAUAAAAAUAAUAAUAUACAGUUGUAAAAACUUAAAAACAAACAAACAACAUAUAAAAAUAUAUAGGUAUUACCACUUAUCUAAGUGUUUACAUCAUUUUUUUUUUUAAUAAAAAAAAAAAAAAAAAAAAAAAAAUUUGUUCAGUAUGUGUGGUAUAUUAGCUAUUUUUCAUUCUUCUAUUGAAAAGCAUGGGUUGAGGAGGAAGGCUCUUGAACUAUCUAAAAUAUUAAGACAUCGAGGACCUGACUGGAAUGGUCUUGUACUCGAAGAGAAUGAAGAUGGAACAAAUAACGUGAUAGCACAUGAGCGUUUAGCAAUCGUUGACGUUUUAUCAGGACAUCAACCUUUAUUCGAUGAUGAGAAAGAAUUAUGUUUAACUAUUAAUGGAGAAAUAUACAAUCAUUUAGAUUUAAGAAAGAAAAUAGAUGAAUCGAUAUUAGAGAAAUUAACUAGCCAUUCUGAUUGUGCAAUUGUACCUAAUUUAUAUAAAAUAUAUAAAGAACAAAUGCCAUCUAUGUUAUAUGGUAUGUUUGCAGGAGUAAUAAGUGAUUGUAAAAACAAUACAAUUUUUNNNNNNNNNNUUUUUUUUGUUUUCUAUAUAAUCAUCAUAUAAAAACUUAGGUACACAAGUAGAUUUACCUGAACCAGUUUCUCCAUGUAUAAAUACAAUAUCAUUGUUUUCAAUUAAUUUUAAAAUAGUAUUUUUUUCUUUGUAUAUAGCUAACUGUUUUAUUUGUUGUUCAGCAUUCUUGUUACUGAAGUCUAGCGGUCGAUCCAUUAUUAAUCUUCCUCUAUUUUUAUUUUUGUCCAUGAUUUCAUAUAAAUCGGAAUUAUUCCUUUGUUGAUCCAUGUGUAUGUUAUUUUUAUUACCACUGUAAAAUGAAUGGUAUUGUCUCUUAUUCCCAAAACUAUUAUUAUCAUCAAAUGAACUAUACAUUCCUGCCUGACCGUUGUUCAUGUUGUUCAUAUUAUUUGUACUAUUAUUUUUAUACUCUUCGUUGCGAUUUCUUCCGUGAUGAGUGGUAUUGUAUGCAUUAUCACUUCGACUAAACCCUGUAUUCGUCCUGUUAUUUUUACUAUCAUAGCCAUUAUUAUUGCGGUUGUUAUUGUUGUUGUUGUUGUUGUUGUUGUUGUUGUUGUUGUUGUUGCUGUUGUUGUUGUUGUUGUUGUUGUUGUUGU